rnacentral:rRNA from 1 species
GAGACACGGCCCAGACUCCUACGGGAGGCAGCAGUGGGGAAUUUUCCGCAAUGGGCGCAAGCCUGACGGAGCAACGCCGCGUGUGGGAUGAAGGCCUGUGGGUUGUAAACCACUUUUCUCAGGGACGAACACAAUGACGGUACCUGAGGAAUCAGCCUCGGCUAACUCUGUGCCAGCAGCCGCGGUAAGACAGAGGAGGCAAGCGUUAUCCGGAAUUAUUGGGCGUAAAGCGUCCGUAGGUGGUCUAGCAAGUCUGGGGUUAAAGCCCGGAGCCCAACUCCGGAUCGGCCUUGGAAACUGCCAGACUCGAGUAAGGUAGGGGUUGCGGGAAUUCCCGGUGUAGCGGUAAAAUGCGUAGAUAUCGGGAAGAACACCAGCGGCGAAAGCGCGCAACUGGGCUAUUACUGACACUGAGGGACGAAAGCUAGGGGAGCGAAUGGGAUUAGAUACCCCAGUAGUCCUAGCCGUAAACGAUGGUGACUAGAUGUGGCUCGUAUUGACCCGAGCCGUGUCGUAGCUAACGCGAUAAGUCACCCGCCUGGGGAGUACGCACGCAAGUGUGAAACUCAAAGGAAUUGACGGGGGCCCGCACAAGCGGUGGAGCAUGUGGAUUAAUUCGAUGCAACGCGAAGAACCUUACCAGGGCUUGACAUCCUGCGAACCCCGCUGAAAGGUGGGGGUGCCUUCGGGAGCGCAGAGACAGGUGGUGCAUGGCUGUCGUCAGCUCGUGUCGUGAGAUGUUGGGUUAAGUCCCGCAACGAGCGCAACCCGCGUCCUUAGUUGCCAGCAUUUAGUUGGGCACUCUGGGGAGACUGCCGGUGACAAGCCGGAGGAAGGUGCGGAUGACGUCAAGUCAGCAUGCCCCUUACGCCCUGGGCGUCACACGUGCUACAAUGGCCAGCACAAAGGGUAGCCAG